GACGAACGCUGGCGGCGUGCUUAACACAUGCAAGUCGAACGGAAAGGCCCUGCUUUUGUGGGGUGCUCGAGUGGCGAACGGGUGAGUAACACGUGAGUAACCUGCCCUUGACUUUGGGAUAACUUCAGGAAACUGGGGCUAAUACCGGAUAGGAGCUCCUGCUGCAUGGUGGGGGUUGGAAAGUUUCGGCGGUUGGGGAUGGACUCGCGGCUUAUCAGCUUGUUGGUGGGGUAGUGGCUUACCAAGGCUUUGACGGGUAGCCGGCCUGAGAGGGUGACCGGCCACAUUGGGACUGGGAUACGGCCCAGACUCCUACGGGAGGCAGCAGUGGGGAAUAUUGCACAAUGGGCGGAAGCCUGAUGAAGCAACGCCGCGUGCGGGAUGACGGCCUUCGGGUUGUAAACCGCUUUCGCCUGUGACGAAGCGUGAGUGACGGUAAUGGGUAAAGAAGCACCGGCUAACUACGUG
rnacentral:rRNA from 1 species